rnacentral:rRNA from 1 species
GAUGAACGCUGGCGGCGUGCCUAAUACAUGCAAGUCGAGCGAACGGACGAGAAGCUUGCUUCUCUGAUGUUAGCGGCGGACGGGUGAGUAACACGUGGAUAACCUACCUAUAAGACUGGGAUAACUUCGGGAAACCGGAGCUAAUACCGGAUAAUAUUUUGAACCGCAUGGUUCAAAAGUGAAAGACGGUCUUGCUGUCACUUAUAGAUGGAUCCGCGCUGCAUUAGCUAGUUGGUAAGGUAACGGCUUACCAAGGCAACGAUGCAUAGCCGACCUGAGAGGGUGAUCGGCCACACUGGAACGGAGACGCGGUCCAGACUCCUACGGGAGGCAGCAGUAGGGAAUCUUCCGCAAUGGGCGAAAGCCUGACGGAGCAACGCCGCGUGAGUGAUGAAGGUCUUCGGAUCGUAAAACUCUGUUAUUGGGGAAGAACAUAUGUGUAAGUAACUGUGCACAUCUUGACGGUACCUAAUCAGAAAGCCACGGCUAACUACGUG